AGUGAACGCUGGCGGUAGGCCUAACACAUGCAAGUCGAACGGCAGCACAGUAAGAGCUUGCUCUUACGGGUGGCGAGUGGCGGACGGGUGAGGAAUACAUCGGAAUCUACUUUUUCGUGGGGGAUAACGUAGGGAAACUUACGCUAAUACCGCAUACGACCUACGGGUGAAAGCAGGGGAUCUUCGGACCUUGCGCGAUUGAAUGAGCCGAUGUCGGAUUAGCUAGUUGGCGGGGUAAAGGCCCACCAAGGCGACGAUCGGUAGCUGGUCUGAGAGGAUGAUCAGCCACACUGGAGCUGAGACACGGUCCAGACUCCUACGGGAGGCAGCAGUGGGGAAUAUUGGACAAUGGGCGCAAGCCUGAUCCAGCCAUACCGCGUGGGUGAAGAAGGCCUUCGGGUUGUAAAGCCCUUUUGUUGGGAAAGAAAAGCAGCAGGUUAAUACCCCGCUGUUCUGACGGUACCCAAAGAAUAAGCACCGGCUAACUUCGUG
rnacentral:rRNA from 1 species